rnacentral:rRNA from 1 species
GGGACACGUGGUAUCCUGUCUGAAUAUGGGGGGACCAUCCUCCAAGGCUAAAUACUCCUGACUGACCGAUAGUGAACCAGUACCGUGAGGGAAAGGCGAAAAGAACCCCGGCGAGGGGAGUGAAAAAGAACCUGAAACCGUGUACGUACAAGCAGUGGGAGCACGCUUAGGCGUGUGACUGCGUACCUUUUGUAUAAUGGGUCAGCGACUUAUAUUCUGUAGCAAGGUUAACCGAAUAGGGGAGCCGAAGGGAAACCGAGUCUUAACUGGGCGUUAAGUUGCAGGGUAUAGACCCGAAACCCGGUGAUCUAGCCAUGGGCAGGUUGAAGGUUGGGUAACACUAACUGGAGGACCGAACCGACUAAUGUUGAAAAAUUAGCGGAUGACUUGUGGCUGGGGGUGAAAGGCCAAUCAAACCGGGAGAUAGCUGGUUCUCCCCGAAAGCUAUUUAGGUAGCGCCUCGUGAAUUCAUCUCCGGGGGUAGAGCACUGUUUCGGCAAGGGGGUCAUCCCGACUUACCAACCCGAUGCAAACUGCGAAUACCGGAGAAUGUUAUCACGGGAGACACACGGCGGGUGCUAACGUCCGUCGUGAAGAGGGAAACAACCCAGACCGCCAGCUAAGGUCCCAAAGUCAUGGUUAAGUGGGAAACGAUGUGGGAAGGCCCAGACAGCCAGGAUGUUGGCUUAGAAGCAGCCAUCAUUUAAAGAAAGCGUAAUAGCUCACUGGUCGAGUCGGCCUGCGCGGAAGAUGUAACGGGGCUAAACCAUGCACCGAAGCUGCGGCAGCGACACUAUGUGUUGUUGGGUAGGGGAGCGUUCUGUAAGCCUGUGAAGGUGUGCUGUGAGGCAUGCUGGAGGUAUCAGAAGUGCGAAUGCUGACAUAAGUAACGAUAAAGCGGGUGAAAAGCCCGCUCGCCGGAAGACCAAGGGUUCCUGUCCAACGUUAAUCGGGGCAGGGUGAGUCGACCCCUAAGGCGAGGCCGAAAGGCGUAGUCGAUGGGAAACAGGUUAAUAUUCCUGUACUUGGUGUUACUGCGAAGGGGGGACGGAGAAGGCUAUGUUGGCCGGGCGACGGUUGUCCCGGUUUAAGCGUGUAGGCUGGU